AUGGCACCUGUGGUGGUGAAUGCAAUGAAGUUCCUUGGGAGCAGUACUACAAAGAUGCCAUGGAGCAGGGCCACAAUUACAAUGCCCACCUCUGUGCUGAGCACAGCAUGUGCCUGCCUUUCUUGGCCUCACAGACUGGAGUAGCCCAGAACAAUUAUUACAGCUGGAUGAAGAAGUAACCAGGUUCUAGGAUUGGCCUCUGGACAACUACUCGUACCCUGCCCAGCACUGGCGGAAAAAGCGGUGAGCCCACCCCUGUGAAGAUCCACAAUUUUUCUUCCCACCUAUUAAGCCAGACACAGACCCCACCCUGAAGAAGGAGGGGCUGAUCUCUCAGGACAGCAGCAGUUUAGAGGUUCUGUUGCACACUGACCCCCUGGGGAAGCGAGGUACCCCAGAUCCCCGAGUUGAUGAUGACAGCCUGGGCAAGUUUCCUGUGACAAACAGUCAAGCACGAAAGCGGAUCCUAGAACCAGAUGACUUCCUGGAUGACCUCGAUGAUGAGUACUGUGAAGAUGCUCCCAAGCAUCGGGGAAAGGGGUAAUCCAAGGGUAAAGGUGUGGCAGUGCCCAUAAGGAGCUGGAUGCUUCCAACCUGGAGGACCAGGAUAAGCCCUAUGCCUGUGACAUUUGUGGAAAACGUUACAAGAACCGACCAGGCCUCAGUUACCACUAUGCCCACUCUCACUUGGCUGAGGAGGGCGAGGACAAAGAAGACUCCCAACCACCCACUCCUGUUUCCCAGAGGUCUGAGGAACAGAAAUCCAAAAAGGGUCCUGAUGGAUUUGCCUUGCCCAACAACUACUGUAACUUCUGCCUGGGGAACUCAAAGAUUAACAAGAAGAUGGGACAACCUGAGGAGGUGGUGUCCUGUUUCGACUGUGGCUGCUCAGGGCAUCCAUCUUGCCUCCAUUUCACCCCCAUGAUGAUGGGGCAGUGAAGACAUACUGCUGGCAAUGCAUCGAGCACAAAUGUUGCGAUAUCUGCGGCACCUCUGAAGAUGAUGACCAGCUGGGCUUUUGUGAUGCUGCGAUCAUGGCUACGAAAUGUACUGUCUCACUCCGUCCAUAUCUGAGCCCCCUGAAGGAAGUUGGAGGUGCCACCUGUGUCUGGACCUGUUGAAGGAGAAAGCUUCCAUCUACCAGAACAAGAACUCCUCUUGA
rnacentral:lncRNA from 1 species